GAUGAACGCUGGCGGCGUGCCUAAUACAUGCAAGUCGAGCGAACAGACCAGGAGCUUGCUCCUCUGACUUUAUCGCCCGACGGGUGAUUACCUCGUGUUUAACCUACCUAUAAGACUGGGAUAACUUCGGGAAACCGUAUCUAAUACCGGAUAAUUUAUUGAACCUCAUGGUUCAAUAGUUAAAGACGGUUUUUCUUUCACUUAUAGAUUGAUCCGCGCGGCAUGAGAUAGUUGGUAAGGUAACGGCUUACCAAGGCGACGAUGCGUAGCCGACCUGAGAGGGAGAUCGGCGACACUGGAAGGGAGACACGGUACAGACACCGACGGGAGGAAGCAGUAGGGAAUCUUCCGCAAUGGGGGAAAGCGGGACGGAGCAAAGCCGCGGGAGGGAUGAAGGUGUUCGGAUCGUAAAACUAUGUUAUUAGGGAAGAACAAAAGUGUAAGUAACUAUGCACGUAUUGACGGUACCGAAAGAGAAAGCCACGGCUAACUACGUG
rnacentral:rRNA from 1 species